ensembl:miRNA Mir192 microRNA mir-192
GUGCACAGGGCUCUGACCUAUGAAUUGACAGCCAGUGCUCUGGUCUCUCCUCUGGCUGCCAAUUCCAUAGGUCACAGGUAUGUUCGCC